rnacentral:lncRNA from 1 species
CAUGAGAAGCUAUAAGUGAAGCUAUAAAGAGCGGCCGUGAUCUUUUUCUCAGAAAACAACAAAAUUAAUUUUCAAAUUAAUGAAUAACUUGUUUACCGGAUACGGUCAGGGUCAGUCGUGCCAUCAAAGUGGAUGGUAAAUUUAUCAAUCUAAAUUUAAUUUAUUUAUAAAAUAAAUUAAAAAUUUAGAUAUAAAUUUAAUUUAUUUAUUAAAUAAAUAAUUUAAUUUUAUCUAUAAAUUUAUUUAUU